GCUGGAGAAGUCGCCCUUGGGCCGCGGGCUCCGGCGGAACAGCUCGUCGCGGCUGCCGUCAGCCCCGCCGCCCACCGCCACUCCCAGCGCUUUGUUUCGCGUCUUCACGGUCUUGACGCUGGCCCGGAACAGCAGAGUGAUGUCCACCGCCAUGACGACCCGCACUCACGGGCCCCGACCCGGCCGGCCUACGUCAGCAGCCGGCGACCGCGGCGCGAGCCCGGCCCCCGGCGGACCGUUCCGGCUCCGCACGCCUCCGCACGCCAACCGCGACGCGAGAAGAAAGGUUCCGGCCUCCGCCGGGCUACCGCGGCCAGAGCAGAAAGGUUCCGGCCUCAGCGCACGCGCGUGGCGGACCCCCGCGGCGCCCGGACCUCGCGGCGCGCACAGCCGCGCCCCUUCUCCCCCAACCCCCCACCUCUGCGGGCUUGGCCGCGCGGGCAGGUCCACGAACCCCCCGCCCCCGCGGGCCGGUGUAGGGCGUGUGGGCCGCGGGAGCGAGAGGACCAGGAAGCUGACCCCUUCUCGAGACUCCCGCACGGAGCGAGCCGGCCGCGGGUGGCCGGAGGCGACUCAGCAUGACCUUUGACCUCAAGGACGCACCUUGUGCGGGACGGAGUUCGUGGACCGUGACAUCUAGAUGCAAUGCGUGCUAGGACAAGCAGCAACCCAUAAUGUUCCAAUGUGCUACCAGCCUGGGUCCCUGAGUAAAGAUGACGUGGAGCACAGCCAACUAAGGACGUGUGCUGGCAGUGAGAGAUGAACCUUUGCUCUUGUGGUCCAUGGAGACUUGUGGUUGUUUGUUACUGCAACGUAAUUAGCAUAUCCUGAUUGAUACAACGCAUAUCCAGAUAUCUGCCAAAACAAGACUUUUGGGUGCAUUCUUCACUUACCAUCACUACAGUGUCAUCUCUCAGUAGGGGCUCUAAAAAGGACCGUGACUCUAGGGACAGGAAGCUCAAAGAAUCAACUUUUGCUCCUAAGAAGGAAACUAGCUAAAGAAAUCAGGGUGAUGGAGAAAUUGGAACCCUUGUAAACUGUUGUUGGGAAUGCAGAAUGGUGCAGUCACUAUGGAAAACAGUAUGGAAAUUCCUCAGAAAAUUAAAAAUAGAACUACCAUAUGAUCCAGCAACCCCACUUCUGGGUAUUUAUCCAAAAGAGUUGAAAUCAGGAUCUCAAAGAGAUAGCCGCACUUCCACCGUCAUAGCAGCAUUAUUCACAAUAGCCCAGACAUGGAAGCAACCUCAAUGUCCACUGAUGGAUGAACGGAUCAAAAAAAUGUGGUAUAUACGUACAAUGGAAUAUUAUUCAGCCUUUAAAAAAGGAAAUCCACUAUGCAACGAGAUGGAUGAACCUUGAGGACAUUACGCUAAGUGAAAGAAGCCAUUCACAGAAGGACAUAUACUGCAGGAUUCCACCUAUAUGAAGUUUCUAAAAUAGUCAAACUCAUAGGAGAGACUAGAAUAGUGGUUGCCAGGG